rnacentral:ncRNA from 1 species
CGUCUUCAGGGCAGGGUGAAAUUCCCGACCGGUGGUAUAGUCCACGACCCUAUAUCUUUAUGAUAUAGGCUGAACUGGUGUAAUUCCAGUACCGACAGUAAAGUCUGGAUGGAAGAAGAUA